rnacentral:rRNA from 1 species
GACGAACGCUGGCGGCGUGGAUUAGGCAUGCAAGUCGAACGGUAUCAUCCUUUCGGGGGUGAGAGAGUGGCGAACUGGUGAGUAACACGUAGGUUAUCUACCCGUCAAGACGGGGACAACCCAGGGAAACUUGGGCUAAUACCGGAUGUGAGCAACUUUUAGUUGUUUGAAAGGUGGCGUAAGCUGUCGCUUGGGGAUGAGCCUGCGUCCUAUUAGUUAGUUGGUGAGGUAACGGCUCACCUAGGCAAUGAUAGGUAGGCGGCCUUAACGGGUGGUCGCCCACACUGGGAUUGAGAUACGGCCCAGACUCCUACGGGAGGCAGCAGUCGAGAAUAGUCUACAAUGGUCGGAAGACUGAUAGUGCGACGCCGCGUGAACGAUGAAUCCCUUCGGGGUGUAAAGCACUUUUUGAGAGGAUGAGGAAGGACGGUACUCUCAGAAUAAGUCUCGGCUAACUACGUG